rnacentral:rRNA from 1 species
GUGCCAGCAGCCGCGGUAAUACAGAGGGUGCGAGCGUUAAUCGGAAUUACUGGGCGUAAAGCGCGCGUAGACGGUUUUGUAAGUCAGAUGUGAAAUCCCUGGGCUCAACCUGGGAACUGCAUUUGAAACUGCAUGGCUAGAGUAUGGAAGAGGGAAGUGGAAUUUCCGGUGUAGCGGUGAAAUGCGUAGAUAUCGGAAGGAACACCAGUGGCGAAAGCGACUUCCUGGUCCAAUACUGACGUUCAUGUGCGAAAGCGUGGGGAGCAAACAGGAUUAGAUACCCUGGUAGUCC